rnacentral:rRNA from 1 species
CCUACGGGGGGCAGCAGUGGGGAAUAUUGGACAAUGGGGGGAACCCUGAUCCAGCUAUGCCGCGUGUGUGAAGAAGGCCCUCGGGUUGUAAAGCACUUUCAGUGAGGAAGAACGCCUGGUGGUUAAUACCCAUCAGGAAAGACAUCACUCACAGAAGAAGCACCGGCUAACUCCGUGCCAGCAGCCGCGGUAAUACGGAGGGUGCGAGCGUUAAUCGGAAUUACUGGGCGUAAAGCGCGCGUAGGUGGCUUGAUAAGCCGGUUGUGAAAGCCCCGGGCUCAACCUGGGAACGGCAUCCGGAACUGUCAAGCUAGAGUGCAGGAGAGGAAGGUAGAAUUCCCGGUGUAGCGGUGAAAUGCGUAGAGAUCGGGAGGAAUACCAGUGGCGAAGGCGGCCUUCUGGACUGACACUGACACUGAGGUGCGAAAGCGUGGGUAGCAAACAGGAUUAGAUACCCCUGUAGUC